GACGAACGCUGGCGGCGUGCUUAACACAUGCAAGUCGAACGGAAAGGCUCCAGCUUGCUGGAGUACUCGAGUGGCGAACGGGUGAGUAACACGUGGGUCAUCUGCCCUGCACUCUGGGAUAAGCCUGGGCAACUGGGUCUAAUACUGGAUAUGACCUUUCUCCUUAUGGGGUUUGGUGGAAAGUUUUUCGGUGUAGGAUGAGCCCGCGGCCUAUCAGCUUGUUGGUGGGGUGAUGGCCUACCAAGGCGACGCCGGGUAGCCGGCCUGAGAGGGUGAUCGGCGACAAUGGGACUGAGAUACGGCGCAGACUCCUACGGGAGGCAGCAGUGGGGAAUAUUGCACAAUGGGCGGAAGCCUGAUGCAGCGACGCUGCGUGAGGGAUGACGGUCUUCGGGUGGUAAACCGCUUUCAGCAGGGACGAAGCGUAAGUGACGGUACCUGCAGAAGAAGCGCCGGCUAACUAUGUG
rnacentral:rRNA from 1 species